UAGUGGAAGCAGUAGAGGGAGAGAGGUUGGCCAAUGGGUACAAAAUACAGUUAGGCAGAAGGAAUAAGUUACAAUGUUUGAUAUCAGAGUAGGGUGACUGUAGUUAACAACAAUAUACUAUAUAUUUCAAAAUAGCUGCAAGAGAG